UACAGAGGAUGGCAAGCGUUAUCCGGAAUGAUUGGGCGUAAAGCGUCUGUAGGUGGUUUUUUAAGUCCGCCGUCAAAUCCCAGGGCUCAACUCUGGAGCAGGCGGUGGAAACUACCAAGCUUGAGUACGGUAGGGGCAGAGGGAAUUUCCGGUGGAGACGGUGAAAUGCGUAGAGAUCGGAAAGAACACCAACGGCGAAAGGCACUCUGCUGGGCCGACACUGACACUGAGAGACGAAAGCUAGGGGGAGCGAAAUGGG
rnacentral:rRNA from 1 species